UAGCUGCACUCAGACUUCAUACAACACUAUUCAAGCAUCCAAAGACCUACUAGAUAAAACAUUUGCCAUCCCUGCCAUCCCUGAAAGAAUGAAUGUUAGAACUUAGGACACUUCAUUUCCAGGUUUUUCCCAGCAAUGGGCUAUAAAUCCAGACCCAUUUUAUUUCUUCUUCCUCUCUCCAGUACCGUGAAUCUUUCAUGCCUUUGGACAGUGGCCCACUUUCAACAGGAAGGACAGAGCAGGACCAGUGUAUAAUCAGGACACUCUAAGUGCCACCUGGUUCUUCAGAUGAAUUACACCUUCAAGACCUCUGCAACUUCUCUCUGUUGAACAGUCAGCUCAUCUUGGAAGGUGUCAGGACUGAAGCUAGGUGAGAUAUAAAUGCUGCUGCUUGUUGCUUCAUCUGAGACUGAUACAAAGCAAGCAUGAGCUGUUCCUCCUCUGAUCUGAAUCAGACAGAAGAAGCUAACACAGAUGUCAUCUAGCAUAUACAUCAGUUGGAAAAUAACCCACCAAUUCUCCUGCUGCAGAAAACAUGUUCGGAAGCACACUCCUCAGGGUCCAAGUCUCCUGCUUCUCCACAGAAAAACAUGUACCUGAUUGCCCUUGUUUAAUCUACUUUCAUCCAGAUCACCAGGCUUUUGCGUCACUCUAUUAAAUGAAAAUCAAGCCAGAAAAGAUAGAAGACAGCCUGGAAAACAGCAGAUCAUAGAUGGCUGCAGUGUGGAGAUCCAAAUCUGAUCCAGUCACACCGGGCGUUCUGUAUCAUCAACAGGGAGAAGUAGGCACAUCUGACCCAUAUUCAGUGUCUACUUUAGGUUAAGAUGAAUCGUACCCUGAAAGUGCCUAUUUCUUUCUAUUGACUAUAAGAAGAGCCUUGACAAUUGCUCAGUUGUAGACAGCUACACUCACUUUUGUUGCUAGACAAAGAUAUGCUGGGUAAUUGUUAAUGUACUGAAUUACUAAAACAGAAAGAUUCUGCAUGGGAAAAAUAUAGCAGAGUGGUAUUACAGGAGAGGUAAUGUCAAGGAAAGUGCACUCCAAGUUGAAACAAUGGAAGAAAAGCAGAAGUAGUGAAGUACCUGGGGGCAGGAAAGUCUAAGUUCAAUCAGUGUACAGGUAUGACUACAUCCACAUAAAAUAAUUUAAUUUGGAAUACAUAGAUUAAAACAAUCAAUAUGAGAUCCUUGUUUUGUACAUAGUUUGGGCAUCUUACUUCACUCUAGAUUUAAUAUGGUGUUCUGGACUGAACACCUCUACAAUGAAUAUGUUUCUGAGCUCACUAAAGAACUGAUAGCUGUUUGAGACUGCCAUAUCCCCCUGAGGGAUGUUUGCUGUGCACUACAGCACAGCCCUAGAAGGGAUUUGGUUGUAAACACUAAAACCUUUCUGUGAAUUCAGCCUAUGUGCAAUAAGUGGGGAUGACUGAGAGAGUUACUAUUUCAAGAAUGCACAACUUCUCUGAACCAAUGUGCUAAUGUAAAUGCAGCCUAAGACAGACAGUUUGCAUAUAAAAUUUAAAAUUCUAAUGAAACAGUCCUUUAGACAUAACUGCCUGAAAUCCUGAUAGAAUUGGUGUAAAGUACAUAACUUUGAGAGCUGCCAGAUCAUCAAUUCACUAGAUGGACUGAGGAGGACAAGAUUUUCCUCUAGAAGUCUUUGCUGGCACUACUCACUCUAUGUUGAUUAUAUGGGGCACGUGAAUAAAAAUCUAGGAGCCUCCCACCCACCUUGGCAACACACAGGAAGAUCUGGUGGGAGAAAAUGCAGGGAUAGGACUUUCUGUAGGGAAAUAUGUACAC